CCUACGGGGGGCAGCAGUGAGGAAUAUUGGUCAAUGGACGAGAGUCUGAACCAGCCAAGUAGCGUGAAGGAUGACUGCCCUAUGGGUUGUAAACUUCUUUUAUAAAGGAAUAAAACGAGGCACGUGUGCCUUUUUGCAUGUACUUUAUGAAUAAGGAUCGGCUAACUCCGUGCCAGCAGCCGCGGUAAUACGGAGGAUCCGAGCGUUAUCCGGAUUUAUUGGGUUUAAAGGGAGCGUAGAUGGGUUGUUAAGUCAGUUGUGAAAGUUUGCGGCUCAACCGUAAAAGUGCAAUUGAUACUGGCAGUCUUGAGUACGGUUGAGGUAGGCGGAAUGCGUGGUGUAGCGGUGAAAUGCUUAGAUAUCACGAAGAACCCCGAUUGCGAAGGCAGCUUACUAAACUGUGACUGACAUUGAUGCUCGAAAGUGUGGGUAUCGAACAGGAUUAGAUACCCGUGUAGUC
rnacentral:rRNA from 1 species